rnacentral:piRNA from 7 species
CUGGACUCUGAAUCCAGCGAUCCGAG